CGAAGAGUGGGGACAGCGGUGAGGCUGGAGAGGAGAUCAGGGGUCUUGCAGGAUAAGGCGAAGAGGCUGGACUUUUUUCUAAGAUCAGUUGUAGGGGGGACACUGGAGGAUCUGAGGCAGGAGAAGACGAGACCUGACCUAUAUUGGGGAUCGACCCCUGGUCUUGGGGGGAGAAUGGGUGCAGACGCAGGGAAGGCAAGGAAGAGGCUGCACAGCUGCCCAGCAGAGACGACAGGGCCUGGACUAAUGGGCAGUACAGGAGCUGGAGGGGAGGGAGAGGCACCCCAGAGUCAGGAUUGACUGGACCUGCUGACAGAUGGGUGGGUGUGAGCAAAAUGGAGGCCCCCAAACAUGAGCCCUGGAAGUGGGGCCUGAGCAGAGGGAUGGGCAGUGGAGGUGCUCACAGACACGGGGAGGCGGAAGCAGAGGGGUUUGGUGGAGGGUUUAGGUGUGUUUAGGCUGAAGACCCCCAGGCGCAGAUGUCCAGUUGUCAGGUGUACGGGGUAACUGUGAUGAUAAAAGGGAAGAACACCUGGAGAACAUGGAGCAGCACACCCAGCAUAACAACAGCAACAUAACAACACCAGCCUAACAACACAACACCAGCAUAACAGCAGUGCAGCAACACCAGCGUAACAACAACAUAACAACACCAGAGUAACAACAGCAACACAACAGCACCGGCGUAACAUAACAACAUCAGAAUAACAGCAGUGCAACACCAGUGUAACAACAUAACAACAGCAGAGUAACAACAGCAACGUAACAACACUGGUGUAACAACAACAUAACAACACCAGAGUAACAACAGCAAUGU
rnacentral:lncRNA from 1 species